GGGUAAAUGUGGCAUAGUGGUUUGAGUGUUAGACUAGGACUCUGGAGACCAUGGUUCAAUUCCCAGCUCAGUCA